rnacentral:rRNA from 1 species
UAUGGUCAAGUGAAGAAGCGCAUACGGUGGAUGCCUUGGCAGUCAGAGGCGAUGAAAGACGUGGUAGCCUGCGAAAAGCUUCGGGGAGUCGGCAAACAGACUUUGAUCCGGAGAUGUCUGAAUGGGGGAACCCAGCCAUCAUAAGAUGGUUAUCUUGUACUGAAUACAUAGGUGCAAGAGGCGAACCAGGGGAACUGAAACAUCUAAGUACCCUGAGGAAAAGAAAUCAACCGAGAUUCCCUUAGUAGUGGCGAGCGAACGGGGACUAGCCCUUAAGUGGCUUUGAGAUUAGCGGAACGCUCUGGAAAGUGCGGCCAUAGUGGGUGAUAGCCCUGUACGCGAAAAUCUCUUAGUCAUGAAAUCGAGUAGGACGGAGCACGAGAAACUUUGUCUGAAUAUGGGGGGACCAUCCUCCAAGGCUAAAUACUACUGACUGACCGAUAGUGAACUAGUACCGUGAGGGAAAGGCGAAAAGAACCCCGGAGAGGGGAGUGAAAUAGAUCCUGAAACCGUAUGCGUACAAGCAGUGGGAGCAGACUUUGUUCUGUGACUGCGUACCUUUUGUAUAAUGGGUCAGCGACUUAUAUUCAGUGGCGAGCUUAACCGAAUAGGGGAGGCGUAGCGAAAGCGAGUCUUAAUAGGGCGUUUAGUCGCUGGGUAUAGACCCGAAACCGGGCGAUCUAUCCAUGGGCAGGUUGAAGGUUAGGUAACACUGACUGGAGGACCGAACCGACUACCGUUGAAAAGUUAGCGGAUGACCUGUGGAUCGGAGUGAAAGGCUAAUCAAGCUCGGAGAUAGCUGGUUCUCCUCGAAAGCUAUUUAGGUAGCGCCUCAUGUAUCACUGUAGGGGGUAGAGCACUGUUUCGGCUAGGGGGUCAUCCCGACUUACCAAACCGAUGCAAACUCCGAAUACCUACAAGUGCCGAGCAUGGGAGACACACGGCGGGUGCUAACGUCCGUCGUGAAAAGGGAAACAACCCAGACCGUCAGCUAAGGUCCCAAAGUUAUGGUUAAGUGGGAAACGAUGUGGGAAGGCUUAGACAGCUAGGAGGUUGGCUUAGAAGCAGCCACCCUUUAAAGAAAGCGUAAUAGCUCACUAGUCGAGUCGGCCUGCGCGGAAGAUGUAACGGGGCUCAAACCAUACACCGAAGCUACGGGUAUCACGUAAGUGAUGCGGUAGAGGAGCGUUCUGUAAGCCUGUGAAGGUGAGUUGAGAAGCUUGCUGGAGGUAUCAGAAGUGCGAAUGCUGACAUGAGUAACGACAAUGGGUGUGAAAAACACCCACGCCGAAAGACCAAGGUUUCCUGCGCAACGUUAAUCGACGCAGGGUUAGUCGGUCCCUAAGGCGAGGCUGAAAAGCGUAGUCGAUGGAAAACAGGUUAAUAUUCCUGUACUUCUAGUUAUUGCGAUGGAGGGACGGAGAAGGCUAGGCCAGCUUGGCGUUGGUUGUCCAAGUUUAAGGUGGUAGGCUGGAAUCUUAGGUAAAUCCGGGGUUCUAAGGCCGAGAGCUGAUGACGAGUUACCUUUUAGGUGACGAAGUGGUUGAUGCCAUGCUUCCAAGAAAAGCUUCUAAGCUUCAGAUAACUAGGAACCGUACCCCAAACCGACACAGGUGGUUGGGUAGAGAAUACCAAGGCGCUUGAGAGAACUCGGGUGAAGGAACUAGGCAAAAUGGCACCGUAACUUCGGGAGAAGGUGCGCCGGUGAGGGUGAAGGACUUGCUCCGUAAGCUCAUGCCGGUCGAAGAUACCAGGCCGCUGCGACUGUUUAUUAAAAACACAGCACUCUGCAAACACGAAAGUGGACGUAUAGGGUGUGACGCCUGCCCGGUGCCGGAAGGUUAAUUGAUGGGGUUAGCUAACGCGAAGCUCUUGAUCGAAGCCCCGGUAAACGGCGGCCGUAACUAUAACGGUCCUAAGGUAGCGAAAUUCCUUGUCGGGUAAGUUCCGACCUGCACGA